rnacentral:rRNA from 1 species
GGGGGUGGGGGGGGGCUUACCAUGCAAGUCGAACGGAAACAUCCCGUCGAUGCGAUUUCGGUCAAGUCAAAGGACCUUUUAGUGGCGGACGGGUGAGUAACGCGUGGGCAACCUGCCUUACACCGGGGGAUAACACUUAGAAAUAGGUGCUAAUACCGCAUAACAGGAGAACAUGCAUGUGUUUUCCUUGAACACCACGGUGGUGUAAGAUGGACCCGCGUCUGAUUAGCUUGUUGGCAGGGUAACGGCCUACCAAGGCGACAAUCAGUAGCCGGCCUGAGAGGGUGGACGGCCACAUUGGGACUGAAACACGGCCCAGACUCCUACGGGAGGCAGCAGUGGGGAAUAUUGCACAAUGGGGGAAACCCUGAUGCACCGACGCCGCGUGAGUGAAGAAGUAUUUCGGUAUGUAAAGCUCUGUCAGCAGGGAAGAAAAUGACGGUACCUGACCAAGAAGCCCCGGCUAACUACGUGCCAGCAGCCGCGGUAAUACGUAGGGGGCAAGCGUUAUCCGGAUUUACUGGGUGUAAAGGGAGCGCAAACGGCAGUGCAAGUCCGGAGUGAAAGCCCGGGGCCCAACCCCGGGACUGCUCUGGAAACUGUACGGCUGGAGUGCCGGAGAGGUAAGCGGAAUUCCUAGUGUAGCGGUGAAAUGCGUAGAUAUUAGGAGGAACACCAGUGGCAAAGGCGGCUUACUGGACGGUAACUGACGUUGAGGCUCGAAAGCGUGGGGAGCAAACAGGAUUAAAUACCCUGGUAAUCCACGCCCGUAAACGAUGAUUACUAGGUGUCGGGGAAGAAAAGACUGCCCGGUGCCCGGAACAAACGCAUUAAGUAAUUCCCCCUGGGGAUUACGUUCGCAAAAAUGAAACUCACAGGAAUUGACGGGGAACCGCAAUAACGGUGGAACCUGGGGUUUAAUUUCAAAACAAGCCCAAAAAACUUUAACC